GCCCGGGGCCAUGAGCCUCUGCCAUCCAGUGACCUGUCCUUCCGUUAUCAGUGUCGCAGUGUAUUCACUGGGACUGCUGGUGGAACUGGGAAAAUGGCCACAUUCGCCAAAGCAGGUCUGAAGCAGACCGAGGCCAUCUAAAGGCCCCACUGGGAUCCACUUGAGAAGUCACCCGGCAGAUGCAGAGGUCCCAGCAUCAGAUUGCCUGUGCCUCCCAUCGUGCCUGCACUGGGGGCACCAAUUAUGUUCCACCAAAGUAAGACAUAACCCCCAAAAUAAUCAGCCUUGAAAAUUAGAGAGCAAAAAUGCCAGCACUGGUGCACUGCAAUUUAGGUUCCUGCAUAAUGAAAGAUAUGGGUCUGGUUUUGGUCUUCAGCAUGUAGAAAGCCAAUUUUUCCAGCAUCAUUAAAGUCUUUUUUCUUUUUUUUUUUCUUUUUUCUUUUUAUCGAUACCAGGGAUUAAGUCUUUUUUCUAGUGAAGGUGUUUGACUCCUUUAUCAAAGAGAAGGUGGCUGAGUAUUUUUGGAGGUGUUUCUGCACCCUGUGAUCUGUUCCACUGAUCUUUGGGUUGUUUUUUUGCCAGUUCCAUGCUGUUUUUAAUCACAGUAGCUUUGUAGUAUAAUUUCAAGUCAGAGAUUGUGAUGCAUCCUGCCUUGCCUUUGUUGCCCAGAAUUGCCUUUCUGAUUGCCUUUUGGUUCCCAGUGAAUUUUAGGAUUGCUUUCUCUGAUUCUGCGAGAUAUAUUAUCGGUAUUUUGAUCAAGAUUUCAUUAAAUGUGCAUAACAGUUUUGGAAAUAUGGCCAUUUUCAUUAUACUGGCUCUUACCCAAGAACAAAGGAUAUGUUUCCAUUUUGUGAUAUCUUCUUCCACCCCCCUUUUCAUCAUACUGUAGUUUAAAUGCAAUAGUAUUUUACUUCCUUCAUUAGAUUGAUUCCUAGGUGUGUGUUUCUUUUAUUUUUUGGAUGCUAUUGCAUCAGGUAAAUGUGAUAACCACUACACUACAGAUACAGCUGGAUUCUAUUGAGAAAGGUGUUGUUUCCCUAGUUUCUUUCUCAGUGAGUUUAUUUGUAUUAUAGGAGACCUACUGAUUUUUGAGUGUUAACUGUAUUGUUACUCUACUGAAUUUGGUUAUUAAGUCUAGAAGUCUUAUGUUGGAGUUUUGGGAUCUUCUGUGUAAGAGUACCACAUCAUUUGCAAAUAAUGACAAUUUAACUUCUUUCUUUCUUAUCGUUAUUCCUUUUAUUUUUAUCUCUUGUCUAAUUGCUCUGGCUAAUAUUUCCAGAACUAUACUGAAUAAGAGUGGGACAGUGGGGCUGGUGAUAUAGUGGCACAGUGCCUGCCUGGCAAGCACAAGGUGGUGUGAGUUCCAGCCCCGGUACCAAAAAAAAAAAAGAGUUGGUGACGGUGAACUUUCUUGUCUUGUUCCUGAUUUUAGAAUGAGAGGUUCAGUGUUUUUUCCAUUUAGUCCGAUGUUGGCUUGCAUGGCGAUGGUGGCUUUUAUCAGCUUGAGAUAAAGACCACUUAUUCCAGUUUUCUGUAGGGUUUUUAUUAUGAGUGGGUGUUGGACUGUGUCAAACACUUUUUUUGCAUCUGAGAUAAUUGUAUGGUUUUUGUCCUGGGCUCUGUUAAUAUGGUGUAUUACAUUUAUUGAUUUGCAUACACUGAACCAUCCCUGCAUCCUGGGAUGAAUUCUUACUUGGUCACGGUGUAUAAUUUUCUUGAUGAUUUGCUGCGUUCUGUUUGCCAGUAUUUUAUUUAGCAUUUUUGUGUCUAUGUUGAUUAGGGAGUUUGGCCUAUAAUUCUCUUUUUGGUUGGAUCCUUCUCUGGUUUAGGUGUGAAAGUAAUGCUUGCUUCCAAAGAUGAAUUUAGGAAUAUUGUUUCCCUUUCAAUUUCAUGAAGAGUUUGAGAAGUAGAAGUAUUUGGUGGUCUCUAAAUUUCUUAUAGAAUUUAGCAGCAAAUUAGUCAGGGCCUGGGCUUUUCUUUGUUGUAGGUUUUAAAUUAUAUCUCAAAUUUUGACUGAUACUGGUUUAUUUAGAAUUUUUAUAUCUUCUUGAUUCAGCUUUGAUAAUUCAUACGUGUCUAGAAAUCUGUCCAUUUCUCCAGUAUUUUCCAUGUUCUUAGAAUACAAGUUUUUGAAGUAUGUAUAGAUUAUCUGGAUUUCUGCAGGAUCUGCUGUGAUUUCACCCAUUUAUUCCUAAUUGCAUGGAUUUGAGUUUUUCUCUCCUUGUCUUGAUAAAGUUGGCAAAAGAUUUUUGAAUUUUAUUUAAUCUUACAAAGAGCCAACUCUUUGAUUCAUUGAUUUUUUGUAUUGUCUUCUUAGUCUCCAUUGCAAUGAUUUAUUUAUAAUUUCCUCCCUCAUAUGAGCUUUUGUUGGGCUUGACUUUUGUUCUUUUUUUAGAAACCUGAAGUUCAACAUUAAUUUGUUUGAGUGUACUCUGAUUUUUCUUUUUUUGUUGUUGUUCUUUUUCCUUUCUUUUUUCUUUUCUUUUUUUUUUUUUUUUUUGAGACAGGGUUUCACUAUGUAGUUCAUGCUGGCCUUAAACUCAUAGAGAUCCUCAUGCCUCUGCCUCCCAAGUACUGAGAUGUGGGGGAUGAGGAGUCACUUUGAAGGCCCUGGACCCCUGGGGACCUGCAGUAAACAAUAGCCCCCAGUAUGCGAGACAGAGGCGGGACAGGAAUGCCUGUUCUCAGUGGGGAUGUUCCCCCCUCUGAACCCAUGCUGUGUGACUUGGCUUUGUUUACAGAGUCAUGAGGAAGUGGCCGACCACCAUAGUGACACUAGAAACAAACAUAAUUAACAACAUUCUUAGGCUAAUAAAAUUCCUCCUGGGCUAGAGGGGCUAGAAGAACUGAUGUUGCUUAACUUAGGUAGUUUAGAUAAACAUUGUAGUCUGUCACAUUGUAGCUUGUCACAAAAAAUGCUUUUUCACUAGUUAAUCGUCUGUGCUCUGUAAAUUGAUCCAGUUUACUAUAUAAGAAUCCUGGAAUAAAGACUGUGCGUGCAGUGUAGUGCGGUAAAGUUGCAAUUGCCGUGUUUCUCUUUCUUUUCCUGGCGCUGCACCCCCGUGUCCUGACUUGGUGUGUGUGUGCCUCUUCCCGGGGUUCAGAGUACUCUAGACACUCCUGACAAGUGGCGCCCGAAUCAGGGACCCCGAAGGUCGUUUAGGAGAGAACAUGGAAUUCAACAAUGGGUCCCUGGACGACGGAUCAAGAUCUGCGCCUCGAGGCCCUCUUCGCCAAUCCUGGAGACAACUCCCUGAGGAACCGUAUCCUCCGAAGCGAGCUCAAAACCAGCUAGAGGAUGAAGAUAAUGAACCUGUCCCUGUUGCCGCCAUGGCCAGAUUACAGCUAAGAAAUUCCCACCGCCAUUCACGGCGACCAAAUUAAACCCUCUCCCUACAUGGAGACAAAUAAAGAAAUUGACCCAACAAGGGCAAUGGCUUGUCCUUCAAACAGGGAAGCCUUUAAACCCUGAAAAUUUGUUUUUAGCUUUAUGUGCCUUGCUCACCAUUGCAUCGGGGACUGAGGUACCCCAACAUUCUUAUUGGGCUUAUAUUCCAAAUCCCCCUUUACUGGAACCUGUAGUAUGGGGAACUAUUGAUAUUUCACUAUAUACAACACCAAGAGAAAUUUUGUCAGCACUGUGGGCUGAUUUAACCCCCCAUAAUCAGGAUGAUGGAACAUUAUUCAAUUUUACUUAUUAUGGCAAUCAAAGGCCUAUUUGCAUUGGGGAACCGCCUUGCAUCCCUCUGGGAUGGCAGUAUUGGAUUCAACAUGGAAUAAAAGCAGGCAACAAAAGGACAAGGCUUCAAGCCUUGGCUGCUCAAACUUUUAAUGUUGCCUGGAAAAAUUUAACAGUGCCUGAUAAAAACACAUAUCCUGUAUGCCCUGAUUUCACUUAUAAUAAUAUUUCUUAUAAUCCCAUAAUUUGGCAACAGUGUAUGGGGAAGUUUGCUAAAAAUAUUGAUGGAUAUAUUAUUUGGGGACCAUUUGGAAAAUUUGUUAAUGGAUGUGCUGAAUGGAAUGAGACAAGAUGUAAUCUCUCUGUUAUAUAUAGUCUUCCAGAUCCAAAGAACAUAACUGACGGGGCUCCUGUCUUCCCUCAAAAGACGCAUCUCCUGUGGUGGGGAGACGGUGGAAUCGCCAAUGCUGCUGUCGCAGCCAAAGAGUACCCUCAUAAUCUCCAAAAUCACAUUUGGAAGAUUCCAGCCGCUAUGUAACCUGUAACCUUGUACAAUGUUUCCUAUUCAGGAACUAGUCAAUCUGUAUCUACUACUUAUAAUUUUACUAAGUUUAAGAUAUAUAAUAUUACCUCUGCCUUAUGUCUUUUUAGUGGGAACUUUUAAUUUUACACAUUUUUCUUGUACUUGUUUAAAUUGUCAAUUGUUUACCUGUUUAAAUAGCACAUUAAAUUUCACUAAGCCUUAUACAGUUAUGCUGUUACAACAAAAAACUCAUAUUUGGUUACCUGUAAAUCUAACUCGACCAUGGUCUCAAGACCCAAUAAUUUCUGUCACUACUAAAUUUUUUCAACAUCUGUUAAAAUGUACAAAAAGAUUUAUUGGAAUAGUGGUCGCUAUAUUGUUAAGUCUGAUAACUGUGGCAUCUUUAGCAGCAGUCUCAAAAAUAGCUUUACAAACCUCUUUGCAAGAAAAACAUGUUGUAGAACAAUGGCAUGAGAAUUCUCAUAAACUUUGGUUAACCCAAUGGCAAAUAAAUGCUAAACUACAGCAGCAAAUAGACCUUCUUAAACCAACAGUUGAAUAGAUGGGAAGAAAAAUAUUGGCUCUUCAGCAUGAAGUGUUUUUAAAAUGUGUUUGGAAUUCAACUACUUUCUGUAUAACACAACGACCAUAUAAUCAAACAAAACAUGAAUGGGAAAUGAUUAAAAUGUAUCUAAAUAGAAAUACUUGUGCCCAAGAGAAAAUAAAAUCUUUGCAUAAUCAAAUUGACAAAGAUUUUGCAAAGCAUAAUGAUGAUGAAUCUCUGGCGAAUCUCUGGCAAAGUUUGCUCAAUUGCUUGCUCAUUCCUUGGAAGGGCUGGACCCUAAAGGAAUUUGGCAAAGCUUUACCCACACUUUAAGCGGCAUGGGACUUAGCUUGAUUAUAGCUCUCAUUGCCAUAGUUCUUGUGUAUUUUUACUGCAUAAGACGUAAUGCUACAAUAAUCUGGUCUUAUGGAAAUUGUUCUUAAAAAAUAAAAAGGAAGGAAGUGUGGGGGAUGAGGAGUCACUUUGAAGGCCCUGGCCCCCUCGGGACCUGCAGUAAACAAUAGCCCCCAGUAUGCGAGACAGAGGCGGGACAGGAAUGCCUGUUCUCAGUGGGGAUCUUCUCACCCUCUGAACCCAUGCUGUGUGACUUGGCUUUGUUUACAGAGUCAUGAGGAAGUGGCCGACCACCAUAGUGACACUAGAAACAAACAUAAUUAACAACAUUCUUAGGCUAAUGAAGUUCCUCCUGGGCUGGAGGGGCUAAAAAAACUGAUGUUGCUUAACUUAGGUAGUUUAGGUAAACAUUGUAGUCUGUCACAUUGUAGCUUGUCACAAAAAAUGCUUUUUCACUAGUUAAUCGUCUGUGCUCUGUAAAUUGAUCCGGUUUACUAUAUAAGAAUCCUGGAAUAAAGACUGUGCGUGCAGUGCAGUGCGGUAAAGUUGCAA